UGGGGAAUAUUGCACAAUGGGCGCAAGCCUGAUGCAGCCAUGCCGCGUGUGUGAAGAAGGCCUUCGGGUUGUAAAGCACUUUCAGCGGGGAGGAAGGCGAUAAGGUUAAUAACCUUGUCGAUUGACGUCACCCGCAGAAGAAGCACCGGCUAACUCCGUGCCAGCAGCCGCGGUAAUACGGUGGGUGCAAGCGUUAAUCGGAAUUACUGGGCGUAAAGCGCACGCAGGCGGUCUGUCAAGUCGGAUGUGAAAUCCCCGGGCUUAACCUGGGAACUGCAUUCGAAACUGGCAGGCUAGAGUCUUGUAGAGGGGGGUAGGAUUCCAGGUGUAGCGGUGAAAUGCGUAGAGAUCUGGAGGAAUACCGGUGGCGAAGGCGGCCCCCUGGACAAAGACUGACGCUCAGGUGCGAAAGCGUGGGGAGCAAACAGG
rnacentral:rRNA from 1 species